GGAACUGAAAGCUAUAUAAAUAUACUAUCACAUCCGUACUUGAUAUAAGUAGAAAAGGAAUUAUAAUGAUUUAUUAAGAUGAAUUGAUUUUUGAUCAAAUAUGUCUUAUUGAUUUUGUGGAGUUAUAUAACAGAUAAAAGAUGAGGAAUAUAAGUCAUAUGAACGAGACAUUGCUUGCUCAGACACAGAGAGAAAUUUUCGCACGUCUAUUGCCGGUGAUUGUGUGUAUGGCAGUCGUCGGCGUCGUCGGGAUACUUGGAAACAUAUUUGCUUUCAUUUUCUACACUUUCAAAGUCAAACGUACUGCUUGUACCGUGCAGAUAGCUUGCCUCUCGGCUGUGACUUCUUGGUCUGCGUAAGGAUCAACCCUAACAUUGUUGAAAUGGCCGUCAAUGUGAAAUAUGAUGUACCUUUCCUCUGUAAACUUACUCACUUUUUAGGAUUAUGGACGAUCGGAAGCUCUAUUUUUAUACUGUGGCUUAUAGCAUUAGACAGGCACCGAAAAGUAUGUAAGCCAUUUGCUAAGCAGAUGACGGUUAAGUCAACUGUACGCGCUAUUAUAGGAUUGUUUGUCUUGGCCUUUUUCCUGUCUGUUAGAAAUUUUGCCAUUUUUGACUGUAUUGAAAUAGAUGUCCGGAUUUCGGGCAGCAAUGAAACGGUCAGAGGCCGAUACUGUACGACUAGGGCCGAUUCUAGAUAUAAACUUAGUGUUUCGAUUUUUCAUGGCGUUGACUUUCUUAUUUGUUUAAUGAUUUUGCUAACAGUAGUUGUUACAUAUACGCACAUACUUUGCACACUGUUUAGAAUGAGACGCACAUUUUCUCGUGGUGACAAAACGGAGAGUUGCGAGGACACCGCGCGCAUCACAACGGAGAGAAACAUCACAUACAUGAUGCUUACCAUUUCUCUCUUAUUCGUAUUGUGUUUCUUCCCAUACUUUGUUAUCAAAGUCAUAAUGAGACUGGCUUUGAAAUCCGGGGAGGCGUUUGAAAUGGCUGUUGGGGCACAAUUUGCCCUGAGGCUCGUGUAUUUUAACAGUGUUUUCAAUCCAAUUGUGUACUGCUUCUUCAACCCACAGCUCAGGCAAUAUCUAAACGACUUGCUCUUCAGAUGCUUUCGAUGUGGAAGAAAUGAUAUCAGUGAAGACAAACAACAAGAAACACAGUUUUCAUCAAUCUAAAAUUGUUAAAAGGCUUUUCAAGAGCCAGAUUUAACUCUCAAAAUUCCAGCAUGUACUUGACUUUUGAUAUUGAUCAAUAGCAAGAACACAUCCUUAGAUUAGUCUCAAAACUUGUGUAAAAUAUACCAGACGUCUGGUGACCAUAUCUUGUUAGUAAUAAGAUGAAGACAACUUCUCCACAGGAGAGGAAACAAGACAGGUCGUACUCUGUUUUUAUAAAGUAAACAUUUUUCAAACUGUUCUCCCUUUUGGAACACUGUUUGAUUCAAGAAGUCUUUAGCAUGAUUUCCGACAUUGUCGUCAUUAUUUCGAAGAAACAUCUAGCUAAAGGUUUCUUUAGUGACAAUUGACAUACAUUGAGUUUAAAACGUUUUUAUUUUACAGGUGGCAGGUCUACAAUUCAGGAAGGUUAAACUUUCGAAAAAUAUAUAGUUUCAAAUUUUACAGACUUUUUACUUAGAUAUGAAGCUGCGUCUAUGUUAACUAAGAUAUGCUAGGAGUUUUCGAAGAGUGAAAUAUAUGUAAACAUGUCAAAUUGUAAAAUUUGUUAUUUACGUUUAGUAAUCACGUGAUAUUUGGACACAUGCCGCGUGCUUGGAGAUCAGCCCAUCUGCAGUUGGAUGCUUCACUUUCCUUUUUGAUUGUGACUGAUUCAUAGUUAUUCCGUCAGUACUGAGAUAGACAUAUCUUGUCUUUUUGUCUCAGAAAAGACUGAGCCAGACCUGUUUUGGGGGCCUCCGUGGCUGAGUGGUUAAGGUCGCUUACUUGAAAUCACUUGCCCCUCAUCGAUGUGGGUUCGAGCCUCACUCGGGGUGUUGAAUUCUUCAUGUGAGGAAGCCAUCCAGCUGGCAUACGGAAGGUCGGUGGUUCUACCCAGGUGGCAGCUCGUGAUGAAAUAAUGCACGGAGGGGCACCUUGGGUCUUCCUCCACCAUUAAAGCUGGAAAGUCUCCAAAUGACCGAUCAUGUCUCGGUGCGACGUUAAAUAAAAAAAAACAUGUUUUGCCUCUACGUAGGCAGGCCCUGUUUAUUCUCCUGCGAAUUCAGCGUUAGGAGAUAAAAGACGGUUCACAUUUCGUCGAUAACCGUGAAUGUAUUGAAUCGCAUGUAACUUGUGCCAUUAUCUAUUUUUAGGUAUCAUAUCAACGAUUUUGGGAAGUACCAAUCAGUAUGUUUUAUUGUUUCUCUCAUGUAUUCGUUUAUUUAUUUUGUUGGGUUUAACGUCGCACCGACACAGUUAUAGGUCAUAUGGCGACUUUCCAGCUUUGAUGGUGGAGGAAGACCCGAGGCGCCCCUCCGUGCAUUAUUUCAUCACAAGCGGGCACCUGGGUAGAACCAACGACCUUCCGUAAGCCAGCUGGAUGGCUUCCUCACAAGAAGAAUUCAACGCCCCGAGUAAGGUUCGAACCCACAUCGAUGAGGGGCAAGUGAUCUUAACCACUCGGCAACGGAGGCCCCUAUCUCUCAUAUAAGUCCUAAAAUAAGUUCAACACGUUGUACUCAGAAUAAAAUAAAAUGUAUGUAGAAUUA